rnacentral:sRNA from 1 species
GUGCCAGAUUGACAACCCUGAAGUCCUAUAUUUAUCCACAGAACAGACGCAGCUCAGGUAGUGGCAGUGAAAAUUUCCCCACAGUGCCCUGCCAAUGUGCCUUAUCCCCCUGAACCUGGAAGAGACAGACCUUUGCUGGUGAGGAGGUAGUUCAGUCUCCAAACUCAUCCAAUGCUCAGCCCCA